GUUUUCACUGCCAGCUCUCCACUGCAACAGCAUGAAUCAUAAAAGACAAAUCAAUCUAUACAUUUCCUGCUCUCAGUAUGACGUCUUCCGAAAAUAAAACCAAAACCAAUGUUUGUUCCCAACUUUUAGGGUAUGUAAAGAUCGCCAAGUCAUUUCACAGAACUCUCCAAUGAAUACACGAUUCAAGCAUCCAUUGGAGGGCACACACAUGAAAUAUUUAGAGACGCCAGUUAACUACUUGGCCUUGACAAGAGGUCUUUAGAAGAUGGAAGGGAACUGGAACAAACAGCAGGACGAAUUCACCCCAAGUGCAGAAUCAAAUCCAGAACCCAAUAUCUGGGAGGAAGCAGAACAAAUUCUGCCACCUGUUGUUGAUUUAUACUGUUCU